GAUGAUAUCUGAGACACGAUAUCAGGCCCUACGGGGCGCAGCAGGCGCGAAAACUUCGCAAUGUGCGAAAGCACGACGAGGGAAUCCCAAGUGCUUGCACGUAAGUGUAAGCUGUUUCUCUGUUUAAAACGCAGAGAGAGUAAGGGCUGGGUAAGACGGGUGCCAGCCGCCGCGGUAAUACCUGCAGCUCAAGUGGUGGCCGUUAUUAUUGGGCCUAAAACGUCCGUAGCCGGUUUAUUAAAUGCCUGGGUAAAUCGGACCGCUUAACGGUUCGAAUUCCGGGUAGACUGAUAAACUUGAGACCGGGAGAAGUUAGAGGUACUCCUGGGGUAGAGGUGAAAUUCUGUAAUCCUAGGGGGACCACCAGUGGCGAAAGCGUCUAACUAGAACGGGUCUGACGGUGAGGGACGAAGCCCUGGGGCGCAAACGGGAUUAGAUACCCCGGUAGUCCAGGGUGUAAACGCUGCUUGCUUGAUGUUAGUCGGGCUCCGAGCCCGAUUAGUGUCGGAGAGAAGUUGUUAAGCAAGCUGCCUGGGAAGUACGGUCGCAA
rnacentral:rRNA from 1 species